rnacentral:rRNA from 1 species
GGGACGAACGCUGGCGGCGCGCUUAACACAUGCAAGUCGAGCGAGAACCUGGCCUUCGGGCCUGGGGAAAGCGGCGAACGGGUGAGUAACACGUGGGUAACCCACCCUUGGUACCGGGAUAGCCCGAGGAAACUCGGAUUAAUACCGGAUGGCCCAACAGCUCUUCGGGGCGGUUGGAAAAGGUAGCUUCGGCCUCCGACCAAGGACGGGCCCGCGGCGGAUUAGCUUGUUGGUGAGGUAACGGCUCACCAAGGCGACGAUCCGUAGC